GAUGAACGCUGGCGGCGUGCUUAACACAUGCAAGUCGAACGAUGAAGCCCAGCUUGCUGGGUGGAUUAGUGGCGAACGGGUGAGUAACACGUGAGUAACCUGCCCUUAACUCUGGGAUAAGCCUGGGAAACUGGGUCUAAUACCGGAUAGGAGCGUCCACCGCAUGGUGGGUGUUGGAAAGAUUUAUCGGUUUUGGAUGGACUCGCGGCCUAUCAGCUUGUUGGUGGGGUAAUGGCUCACCAAGGCGACGACGGGUAGCCGGCCUGAGAGGGUGACCGGCCACACUGGGACUGAGACGCGGCCGAGACUCCUACGGGAGGCAGCAGUGGGGAAUAUUGCACAGUGGGCGCAAGCCUGAUGCAGCGGCGCCGCGUGGUGGAUGACGGCCUUCGGGUUGUAGACCUCUUUCAGUAGGGAAGAAGCGAAAGUGACGGUACCUGCAGAAGAAGCACCGGCUAACUACGUG
rnacentral:rRNA from 1 species